rnacentral:rRNA from 1 species
UACGUAGGGGGGCAAGCGUUGUCCGGAUUCACUGGGUGUAAAGGGUGCUCAGGCGGACUUGUAAGUCAGAGGUGAAACUCCGAGGCUCAACCUCGGAACUGCCUUUGAUACUGCAAGUCUCGAGUACGGGAGAGGGUAAUGGAAUAACAGGUGUAGCAGUGAAAUGCGUAGAUAUCAGGAGGAACACCGGUGGCGAAGGCGGGUCUCUGGGCCGAUACUGACGCUGAGGAGCGAAAGCGUGGGGAGCGAACAGG